UACAGAGGGUGCAAGCGUUGUUCGGAAUUAUUGGGCGUAAAGGGCGCGUAGGCGGUGCGGUAAGUCUGCAGUGAAAUCUCUGGGCUCAACUCAGAGUCUGCUGUAGAAACUGCCGUGCUUGAGUGUGGGAGAGGUGAGUGGAAUUCCCGGUGUAGCGGUGAAAUGCGUAGAUAUUGGGAAGAACACCGGUGGCGAAGGCGGCUCACUGGCUCAUUACUGACGCUCAGGCGCGAUAGCGUGGGGAUCAAACAGG
rnacentral:rRNA from 1 species